UACGGGGGGAGCAAGCGUUGUUCGGAUUUACUGGGCGUAAAGGGCGCGUAGGCGGCCACCGCAAGUCGGUUGUGAAAUCUCCGGGCUUAACCCGGAAAGGUCAAUCGAUACUGCGGGGCUAGAGUGCAGAAGGGGCAACUGGAAUUCUCGGUGUAGCGGUGAAAUGCGUAGAUAUCGAGAGGAACACCUGCGGCGAAGGCGGGUUGCUGGGCUGACACUGACGCUGAUGCGCGAAAGCUAGGGGAGCGAACGGG
rnacentral:rRNA from 1 species